CCUACGGGGGACAGCAGUGAGGAAUAUUGGUCAAUGGACGAGAGUCUGAACCAGCCAAGUAGCGUGAAGGAUGACUGCCCUAUGGGUUGUAAACUUCUUUUAUAUGGGAAUAAAAUGUUCCACGUGUGGGAUUUUGUAUGUACCAUAUGAAUAAGGAUCGGCUAACUCCGUGCCAGCAGCCGCGGUAAUACGGAGGAUCCGAGCGUUAUCCGGAUUUAUUGGGGUUAAAGGGAGCGUAGGUGGAUUGUUAAGUCAGUUGUGAAAGUUUGCGGCUCAACCGUAAGAUUGCAGUUGAAACUGGCAGUCUGGAGUGCAGUAGAGGUAGGCGGAAUUCGUAGUGUAGCGGUGAAAUGCUUAGAUAUCACGAAGAACUCCGAUUGCGAAGGCAGCUCACUGGACUGCAACUGACACUGAGGCUCGAAAGUGUGGGUAUCAAACAGGAUUAGAUACCCUAGUAGUC
rnacentral:rRNA from 1 species